rnacentral:pre_miRNA from 1 species
CACUCACUCAACCUGGGUGUGAUGUUUUCAGUUGCAAAAUCCAUCACAACCUCCUUGAGUGAGCGA